UGUGUGACUGGUUUUCCGCCCUUUUUAUUUAUUUAACAAUGCAUGCUUAUAUGAUGCUCUUUUGUUUAUAGUUCUUUAAGCAACUUAAUUAAUGAUAAUUGGUUCAUAAAAAUUAUUUUAGAUAUUAUGUUGUCAUGUAUUCUAAUGCUUUGAAUAAACGUGCAGUAAUAUCUUGAGGCCUCAGAAGAUAAUCAUCCUAACUGAAAUUAUGCAAUUUAAAUCAAUUUUGAAAACAAUUCGAAUUUUGAUCAUAUUUAAGUAAAAAAUUUGAAUUUAGUUUUUCAGCUAUUUUGACAGCCCUAGGCAAUUCUAGUCCGAAUCUGUAGGCCUAUCUGUAUGCAUGAAACUGUCUGAAUACUGGCAGAAUUAACAUUUCUGUUGUAAACAGAGAAACAAUGUGCAGAAGUAUUAUUUGUUGUUAUGCGUGUGUGUCCGAAGAUGCAGUUGCUGCAUCUCCAAGAGAAGGUCGUUAAAGUCAAUUUCCUAUUUUCGUUUUCCAAACUUGGUUGGUCCAAUUGAUUCGUGCAAUAGAUUUUCUAACAUAAAAUGACAGUCGACAUGGACACAGUUUUAGACUAGACGGGAGAAGGGAUGGGAAAAGAUCUGUGCACAGUUUUUCCAGAACUUCGUGCCAAGUUAAAGUGGUGUCAAGCUGUUUUAAUGCAUUUUUUAGAUGUAUUAUGUUGCCCGAACCCGUAUGACUUUGAACAGUGACCAUGAACAUUUUGUUCAGCCAUCAUUACCAAGCACGAACCGUUGACUCUGACAAUGAAUGAGAGUAUUAAAUGAAGCGAACGCACAGGCCAUAGUGUGACAUCCGUGUAAACAUAGAUGACAUCACAGGUUUUUUUUAAAGAAAGAACGUAGUCUUUGUUUGUAUGUAGGCCUAGGCAAUUUAUAUAUUUACAAUACUUAAAUAUAAUUAAUAUUAUUUUAUUGCUUUUGUAUUAGUUGUUUGAAGAGUAAAAAAAAAUUGGAUGGUCUUGACGCAAAUUUACAAUCGGCAAGUCGGUUGGACUACGAAAAAAUUUAGUCUGUCCUAAACUGACACGGUCGGUCGGGUUACGGCAAACAAGAAUAUUUUUAAGGAUGGCCUGACGAAUGUCUGAAGCCCUGUACCAUCCCGCCAAUAUCAUCGGCCAAAUAGUGCUUGGCACUGCCCUAUUCAUGUGUAUGCAUAGUAGUGCCGCUGUUUCACUUGGAUUUAAUUUCCUGUAAAGCAAAUUUUCUUUGCAUUAAAGAGCACCUAUCACGGAAUUUUGAAAUUUACCUUUUAUGUAGUGUGUAACAUAGAUCUAAGUGAACAAAAACAUCCUGCAAAGUUAUAUAUAAAGUUAUUGUCUUUCAAAAGUAAGAGUCGACUCUGAGUCAUUUUUAUGAAUCGUUAGAAGACCGAAGCUUUUUCUCUGACUAGAUGACGUCAACUUGUCAAGUUAUUUGAAUACGAUAUGCCCACUUAUUGCGCUCCAAGACGCCAGUGAAAACUAGAAAACAACAUGGCGACGAGACGCUGUGUUCUGAAGUGGGACUCAAAAGCAAACUUUUUUUAUCUGCCCAAGGAUGAGCAUUUGAAGACUAAGUGGCUACCCAGACAGCAAGCAGUUUUGGCCCAUAUCCGGCCCACAUCUAGCCCGCAUGGAUUUCACAUGGGCCAGAUGUGUGCCGAAUCUGGGCCAACACUAUGUUGCUGUCUGGGUACAAUUCAUAUAUACAACUGUACCACAGAAGUAUAGUCCGAGCCUUGUGCUUUGUUCACGCCAUUUUGAAAAUGAUUGCUUUACCAACUUGCAAUCAAACUUGGAUUCGCGAGCCGGCUGAUAUUGAAGGAAGGUUCAGUUUCCAAGUGUAUUUGCAUCAGCUUCCCCCUCCGUAUAACAACCUGUAAGUGUUAUUAAUAAUUGUUGCUUUUAUGUUUUAUGUAGCAUGCUUAAUGAUUGUUUGGUUUGUUGUGAAAGCACCGUUUAGCUUCUACAAUUGUAUUGAGAUAUGUAAAUUGUUUGUUGUUGUUUUUGGAGUUUUCUUUAAGAAUAGAGUCAUACCUCGUAGUAACGUAACGUUACUGCUUUUUUUUUUUUUUUUGGUAAAAACGUUAUGUUUAUGCUUCGAGUCAAUGCGAACAAAUACUGAUUGUGCUUUUACAAUAUGAACAUCACGUAAAGGCGGGUUUUGAAAAGUGAAUCACUAAACGAAUCAUUUGAGAAUCGCUGUCAAAACAGGUAAAAAUAAAUGCAUAUUAUAAGAAAACGAAAGUCUUUUUUGUCAUUGCAUGCAUGCAAAACUGUUGUUGGGGACUUCUAAAACAAUAUUUGGAACAUUUUAAAUGCCAUAUUAGGUGCUCUUUAAGAAAAGCAUCUCACGUUCUCUGACUUUCUUCAUCGAGCAGUGUUCAACUCCUCUUUGCGGACGCAAUGAGUUUUCGGGAAGUGCAAGGAGCCAUGUGGCAGGUUUAUCAUGGGGGGGGGGGCGCAAGCAAGGUGCAUAGUGUGUUUGGGCCUGCAUCAUUUACAUUGGCAUCGCUUAGUGGCAUUUCUUCUUGUCAUUACUGUGAUAGUCUGCGUCUUAAAGUGUUGUGUAUUUUCUAAGGUUGCUCCAGCAUCCAACCACC